UUGGCUGCUACUGUAGGCUGAACGAUAGAACAGCUAUUUCCAUGUUAAAAUGUUAUGGGAUGCAUUUUCAAAAAAUUGUUUGUGGGAGGCCACUCUGGUAGGCUUACAUUAUUAUCAAAUAGCCAUAGUAGCCGACUUGACCACUGUCUGAAACUGUAAUUAAAAGUGGGUACAGCCUCAAUGUUCACAGUAAACGGGCGCUGGAAGUUGCACAGAAUGUUCACAAUGUUCAAGUUUGAGCUCAGCAGACUUGAAAUUUGCUCAGUGCCAGGAAAACUAUUAAGGGAACAUUGCAUUUAUCCCUAAGGCUGUGACAAUAAGAAGACACAGUGGCAGAAUAAAUUCAACCACACCUUUGUUUCAUUACAAAACUGGAGAGCAACAUCUGUCCGGUGGAGUCCACAAAGCAUAUUGCAUGUAACAAACAGUUACAUGACCUACAUCAUGGUCAAUCAAGUUCAUGUUGCCGACACUUAACACUUUUUUUCGUUACUACAUGAUUCCACAUAUGUUAUUUCAUUGUUUUGAUGUCUUCACUACUAUUCUACAAUGUAGAAAAUACAAAAAAAUAAAGAAAAACCCUUGAUUGAGUAGGUGUGUCCAAACUUUUGACUGGUACUGUAUGUGAUAAGCAAAAUUGACACAGUUACAAUAGACAUCCACCAAAUUGAUGUUACCUGAAUUUUGUUAGCUCACAAUAAACACAACAGCUCAAUGCUGAGUAAAGAAGGUUAGUACUGUACAGGGAUGGUGAAGAGUAUUUAAACCAUCCUGCAGAAGUAAUUGGCAACCAGAAGGGGGCUCUCGUGUCACACUAGUGGUUGCCAAACACGUCCAUGCUGUGGUGGCCCACCUAAAGCCUUUGAAUAUAUCUUUCUGCGGUUUACUAACUAAACAAAAGCAAUGUUGUUCAGCACAAAUACAACAGUCUCACUCUACUCCACCAACAAGUUAGUGCAGUGUUUCUUCAUCCUGAUCCUGGGGAAUCAAAGGGGUACACUUUGUAUUGUUUUCCCUAGCACUACACACCUGAUUCCACUAAUCAAAGGUUUGAUGAUGAGUUGAUUAAGAAACAUUAGGUUACUAUUUUCACUAUAGUCCUCCUUUGAUUGAUUUGAAAUGUACUGUCUGUUACCAUUUGAGGUAAUGUACACCUUGCGUUCAUAUGGUUACGUGUGUGUAUAAAUGUCUAUCAUAACCUGUUGUGGUUGUGUGUGUAGGGCGGAGAGGAAGAGAGCCAGUGUGAAGCAGCAGAGUCUCAGCAGCAACAUUUUCAUCCUGGAAAGAACGGACCAAUCAGGACAGACAUAUUUCAGUCCCGCCCCUCAUGUCCAGGAAGUAUGUCAGGAGGUAGAUGAGUUCAUCUAUGUGGCCAAUGCAGAGACAGGAAGAGAAUAUGAGCUAUCGCAACAUCAGGCUGGUUCCACCAGGCUACCUUCCAGGACCAGAUCCAGGGAAAGAUCAGGCUGGUUCCACCAGGCUACCGUCCAGGACCAGAGCCAGUGAAAGGUGGUGAGGGGGAGGCGUCUCAGAUCCAAGCAUUGGUGAACCCUGCCUAGUGUUCGUCCUCCAGAACCCUCCUGGUCCUGACUUUUGUGUCCAGAGAGGAACCAGACCCAAUCAGAACCACUAGUCGCAGUACUGCUAGAUUAAAGACCAGGACCCCCAGUGUGGAUAUUGCACAGAGGCUCUGCCUGUCCCUGCUGCCCAACUCCUGGAUGGUCUGUCUGUCUGUCUGUCUGCCUGCCUGCCUGCCUGCCUGCCUGCCUGCCUGCCUGCCUGCCUGCCUGCCUGCCUGCCUGCCUGCCUGCCUGCCUGCCUGCCUGCCUGUCUGGGUGCUCUGGUCUCAGGCUGUAGCUAGCUGUCAAGGAACUACCUUCAGCACAAAUGCUUCUGAAGGAAUGUUCUACCUCUGAUGUGCCUUGUUUCAAUGAAUUGCAAAAGAAAAAGUCAUUAUUGGGUAAAUAUUAUUUAAUAACCCUGUUGUAAUUUUUUUGUGAAUAAAUAGUGGGUUGUGAAACAAAACAGAAGUGAAGAGAACUACUGUUUAACUGUAGCUAUGGUACUUUAAUGAAGAUAAUGAAGGGUUUUGGUUAUGAUGUUCUUUCUUCUACGACUACUGCGUAGUUUAGAAGCAUUUAGAAUCAUAUUGAUGUGACAAGGAAUUAUGGGUAAUUUUAUUUUUGUAUACCUUUAUUUCAGCAAAUCAUGCAAUUUCUCUUUCAUUUUUUUCAUAUAAGUUAUAAUUCUUUUAUACUCCAAAAUAUUAUGCUUUUAUUUUCUUUCAUUGUUUAAAUUCAUGUUCUAAAUUACCACUGCACAAGUUGUUAAAAAGCAACUGAAAGCCUUCGGUGGGUCACAGCACAGAAACGUUGGUGAGCUCUGCAUCUGGAACAGUGAAAGGCGUUUGCUUCAUAGUUCAUCAGUAGUUCACAGGCCAACCCUUUCAUAUCUUCCUUAAU